ensembl:lncRNA
GAAAUACGUACCUCUGCACACUUUUUUGCAGCGCCACAAGUAUGUACAUAUUGCUACAGUUUUGAAACACAAACGUCCACUGGGGUCGCUAAAGAGAAGGACUGCAUGUGACAUUGCAAUCGACAGUAAGAGCAGAGGUUCCAGUCAUAUCAAAGAGGAAGAAGAGUAAAGUUUUUUUUUUUUUAGCCUAUCAAGGAACAGGAGAUUUGAAGAUCAUCUGUAAUCUCACUAUCUUUCUGCCUCUUGCAGUAAAACGCAGACAGGUGUUAAAAAAUAAAUGACUGAGAGAGUCAUCUGAUCAGCCUAUACCAGAGAAAAAUACGGAGGAGGAAUUACACCGUGAUCUUGAGGAAAUAAUGGCUGAUUUGGAGGAGAUGCACCUCCGAACAUGUUUAGGGGCGAGAUAUUUGCAUACCCUCUGUUUCUGAAGAAGGAACUGGCCACAAAAACAAACUGCAAGUUCUUCUGCACUGACAUCAUGUGUCAAUAUUGGUCCUAUCUGCAAGAGGUGGCUCAAGCAUUCCCAGAAAUGGAAAACUUGACUCAGAUGAAGCCAUUUCUCUCAGUUAUGAAUGCAAAGGGGCACGCUACAAAUUGUGAGGUGCAGUGGGGUGGCAAAAACCAAACAGGGGCAGCUUGCUUUUUAUUAUUAUUAUUAUUAUUAUUUCAUUCAUCAUACUCUGUGACUAACCACUAAUUGAAAAGCACAUUUAUGCCUUUCAUCAUUACAGCACGAGUAGAUAUGAUCACAUUGCAUGCCAGAGGCCCACAUAGCAAAUGUCUUCUGGCCCAGAUCCGGGCUACACAAUCACUUUUCCCUCGGUCCAAGUGCCGCAAAGAAUGACGGCCCUGAAGUGGCCCAGAACUGGAUUACAGACAAGGGCCACACAUGGGCCAUAACCGGGCCGAAUCUCAGCCAGUUAAUCACCCUGAACUGUCCCUGAACUGGGCCAAAACAGGUUUUAUUAUUGGUGCCAAUUCUCAGCCUUAAGUAAACCAGAAUCUCCAAAUCUGAGCCACACCUGAGCCUUAUAUAGCCCAGACCCAACACAGACAGCAAGCAGUUUGUUGGAUUUCAU